AGAGUUUGAUCCUGGCUCAGGAUGAACGCUAGCGGCAGGCUUAACACAUGCAAGUCGAGGGGCAGCGGGGAGGAAGCUUGCUUUCUCCGCCGGCGACCGGCGCACGGGUGAGUAACACGUAUGCAACCUGCCCCUGUCAGGGGGACAACCCGCCGAAAGGCGGGCUAAACCCGCGUACAUGCCACCGGGGCAUCCCGGAGGCAGGAAAGGCUUCGGCCGGACAGGGAUGGGCAUGCGGCGCAUUAGGCAGUAGGCGGGGUAACGGCCCACCUAACCGACGAUGCGUAGGGGUUCUGAGAGGAAGGUCCCCCACACUGGUACUGAGACACGGACCAGACUCCUACGGGAGGCAGCAGUGAGGAAUAUUGGUCAAUGGUCGGGAGACUGAACCAGCCAAGCCGCGUGAGGGAGGAAGGUACAGAGUAUCGUAAACCUCUUUUGUCAGGGAACAAAGGCGGGGACGUGUCCCCGGAUGAGUGUACCUGAAGAAAAAGCAUCGGCUAACUCCGUGCCAGCAGCCGCGGUAAUACGGAGGAUGCGAGCGUUAUCCGGAUUUAUUGGGUUUAAAGGGUGCGCAGGCGGUCUGUUAAGUCAGCGGUCAAAGCCCGGGGCUCAACCCCGGCCCGCCGUUGAAACUGGCAGUCUCGAGUUGGAGAGAAGUAUGCGGAAUGCGCGGUGUAGCGGUGAAAUGCAUAGAUAUCGCGCAGAACUCCGAUUGCGAAGGCAGCAUGCCGGCUCCACACUGACGCUGAGGCACGAAAGCGUGGGUAUCGAACAGGAUUAGAUACCCUGGUAGUCCACGCAGUAAACGAUGAAUGCUGGCUGUCCGGGGGGACUGACCCCUGGGUGGCGAAGCGAAAGCGAUAGGCAUUCCACCUGGGGAGUACGCCGGCAACGGUGAAACUCAAAGGAAUUGACGGGGGCCCGCACAAGCGGAGGAACAUGUGGUUUAAUUCGAUGAUACGCGAGGAACCUUACCCGGGCUCAAACGGGGAGUGGCGCAGGCAGAGACGCCUGUUUCCCACGGGACACUCCCCGAGGUGCUGCAUGGUUGUCGUCAGCUCGUGCCGUGAGGUGUCGGCUUAAGUGCCAUAACGAGCGCAACCCCCGCGUGCAGUUGCUAACAGUCAACGCUGAGGACUCUGCACGGACUGCCGGCGCAAGCCGCGAGGAAGGCGGGGAUGACGUCAAAUCAGCACGGCCCUUACGUCCGGGGCGACACACGUGUUACAAUGGGUGGUACAGCGGGAAGCCAGGCGGCGACGCCGAGCGGAACCCGAAAUCCACUCUCAGUUCGGAUCGGAGUCUGCAACCCGACUCCGUGAAGCUGGAUUCGCUAGUAAUCGCGCAUCAGCCAUGGCGCGGUGAAUACGUAAGCGGGCCUUGCACACACCGCCCGUCAAG
rnacentral:rRNA from 1 species